ACGGAGGAUGCGAGCGUUAUCCGGAUUUAUUGGGUUUAAAGGGUGCGUAGGCGGAUUAAUAAGUCAGUGGUGAAAUACUGCAGCUUAACUGUAGAAUUGCCGUUGAUACUGUUAGUCUUGAGUAUGGUCAAGGUAGGCGGAAUGUGUAAUGUAGCGUUUAAAUGCUUAGAUAUUACACCGAACACCGAUUGCGAAGUCAGCUUACUGGGCCAUUACUGACGCUGAUGCACGAAAUCGUGGGGAUCGAACAG
rnacentral:rRNA from 1 species